rnacentral:rRNA from 1 species
AACGUAGGAGGCGAGCGUUAUCCGGAGUUACUGGGCGUAAAGCGCGUGUAGGCGGUGGGGUAAGUGGCUGGUGAAAGCGCCUGGCUUAACCAGGCGAGUGCCGGUCAGACUGCCUGACUAGAGUAUCGGAGAGGGACGUGGAAUUCCGGGUGUAGCGGUGAAAUGUGCAGAGAUCCGGAGGAACACCAGCGCCGAAAGGGGCGUCCUAGACGAAAACUGACGCUGAGACGCGACAGCGUGGGGAGCGAACGGG